rnacentral:rRNA from 1 species
AAUAAUAAUAAUAAUACCUUUGAGGCAUCAAAUCCUGUCUGAUCUUGGAAGCUAAGCAUGGUCUGCCCUGGUUAGUACUUGGGUGGGAGACUGCCAACGAGUAACAGGCACUGUAGGAU